UUAAAUAAGCAAACCGAGCUGGAGUUCAUACAUACAAACAGAGUUGGAGUAAUACAGGUAUACAUCGUCAGUAUUUAACAGUGUUAUCAAUUGCUACACGAUGGAGUAAAUAUUGCACUGCUACAUAAUGGAGUAAAUAUUGCAAGUUACUGUCAAUUGCUAAUGUUAUUCUUCGGUUACUGUAACUAGUGUCAUGUCCACUACUGGUGCAUCUUGGUCAAUUGAGUCCUUGCUCUCUCCCUGGAUGUAUAUUAGCAUGAUUAAUUCGGAAAAACGAAUCAAGUUAUGUGAUUCUCUUAUUCUAUUUGUAUACUUGAUGCAUACUCGAUUCUGUAUUCUUCCUUGCUUGCUUGUGUACUGCAUUACUCCGUGAUUGCUUGGUGUGCUUUUAGGAGUAGGAAUUGGCUUGCAUAAAUAUCUUGAUCAUGCAGCUUAAAUACAGUCCAAAUUGCUACUGACAAUACUCCUGCUACUAUCAAUACUCCCUACUGCUGCUGUUAGUAUUUUCUAUUGCUAAUAACAUUAUUUGAACACAUUGUUAUACUCCAGGACGGUGGCGUCUAGGUGAUUCAGCUUGCCCCAGGCAACGAGCAGCCCCAUUGUACUUGAGCAUCUUCGCAAGGUAUAUGGACAUCGCCUUCUUCGGGUGGAGUGAAAUUCAAGUCUGGGAGCACCAUAUUGAUCUGAUUGUUGUUGGCUCUCUUCGUUCAGCUAGGUGCCAGUCGUCGACAACCUGGGCGAGGAGUUGCUUGGGCUGGGAAAAUAAUCCGGAGGAGAUUGUUCUCCAAGAGCUCCAGGUUGAAGAAGUUUGAAGACACUCGGUGGAAAUUAUGUAGUUAUCAAAUUUGUAGACCUAGUAAUACUGUGAUUGUAUACACAUCUGCUUGUGAGAUGAUCUACAUUGACUAAUUUUGGGUGUUAUUUGAAGUAUAAUUACGUGCAUUUUUUGUGUAUUCGAUUUAAAUGUGGCUUA